CGCCUGCCCCGUGACAAAAGUUUAACGGCCGCGGUAUUUUGACCGUGCAAAGGUAGCGCAAUCACUUGUCUUUUAAAUGAAGACCUGUAUGAAUGGCAUAACGAGGGCUUAACUGUCUCCUUUUCCCAAUCAAUGAAAUUGAUCUCCUCGUGCAGAAGCGGGGAUAUACACAUAAGACGAGAAGACCCUAUGGAGCUUUAGAUACCAAGACAGAUCUUGUUAAACACCUCAAAAUAACGAAAAAAACUAAAAGAAACCUGCCCUAAUAUCUUUGGUUGGGGCGACCGCGGGGAAACAAACAACCCCCAUGUGGACUGAGAAAACAAAUCUCACAACCAAGAGCCACAGCUCUAGCUAGCAGAACUUCUGACCUUAAGAUCCGGCAAUGCCGAUCAACGGACCGAGUUACCCUAGGGAUAACAGCGCAAUCCUUUUUUAGAGUUCAUAUCGACAAAAGGGUUUACGACCUCGAUGUUGGAUCAGGACAUCCUAAUGGUGCAGCCGCUAUUAAGGGUUCGUUUGUUCAACGAUUAAAGUCCU
rnacentral:rRNA from 1 species